rnacentral:rRNA from 1 species
UGGUGGAGUGAUUUGUCUGGUUAAUUCCGUUAACGAACGAGACCUCGGCCUGCUAAAUAGUGCGGCUAACUCUUCGGAGUUGGUACGCUACUUCUUAGAGGGACUAUCGGUGUUUAGCCGAUUGGAAGUUCGAGGCAAUAACA